UAACACGUAGGAGGCGAGCGUUAUCCGGAUUUACUGGGCGUAAAGCGCGUGCAGGCGGUUGGGUAAGUUGGAUGUGAAAGCUCCUGGCUUAACUGGGAGAGGUCGUUCAAUACUACCUGACUUGAGAGUGGUAGAGGAAAGCGGAAUUCCGGGUGUAGUGGUGAAAUGCGUAGAUAUCCGGAGGAACACCAGUGGCGAAAGCGGCUUUCUGGACCAUUUCUGACGCUCAGACGCGAAAGCUAGGGUAGCAAACGGG
rnacentral:rRNA from 1 species